UCCCCCUCCUCCACUCUUUCAAGCUCCGCCUCGGAAAUGGCGAAGAGCAGAAUACAAUAAAAUGAAAAUAACAAACAGCACUCUCAAACCCUAAUCUUCCCGCCCAAACCCCGACUCCUCCUCGUCCUCACCCACGCACGUUCGUCCUCACCGCCACCAGCGCAUGUCGCUCGCUCUCACGCACAAGACACAGUGCGUCGCAACUACAACAACCCAGCAAGCCUCGAUGGCUGGCGGGCUCCGAGUGAAGAUGAGCGACGGGUGAGCGCUGCUACCGAGGAACGACUCAGCCUUCUAAACUCGCAUCGAGGUCGAAAACAUCCAAAGCAUGCGCAAGCUCGCAAGCUUGCAAUCUGCUAUCCUGUUCUAAUCCCUCCCUCCCUUUCUCUCCUCCCUUCCUUCCUUCCCUUCUUCCCUUGUCUCCGUCCCUGCCAGCCCGCGUCGCGGACGACGCCCCGUCCCUCCUGCUCUAUCCCCCGUCUCUCUCUCUCUCUCUCUCUCUCUCUUUCGCUCUCUCGGUGUGUUCCCGCAAGCGCAGACUUUCUACUAGGCGGGAGCUUUAGUGGCAAAUGCAAUUAUUAGGUUAUAAUGGGGAUAUGAGAAAUGCAGAAAAUGGGGGGGGGGGGGGGGGAACAGGAACAACGACCCAGUGCCAGAUUGCGACCCACUUGCAGCUCCCAAGCUCCCAAUUGGUUCCACGUCCCGUGUUUCACCACCCUCUUUCUUGUCUGGUCUUGGCCCCUCUUCCACACACACUCUCUCUCUCUCUCUCACCCUUUCCUCUUUUCUCCUUAAACUUCGAUAGUUCCUCCCUCUCCUUUCGUUUUGCUAGCUUCUCUGGUCCUUCGGAGGAGGAGGAGGAGAACGAUGAGGACGAG
rnacentral:lncRNA from 1 species